AGCCCGCGCGUCCGGAGCCUGCGCUCCGCAGCGGGAGAGGCCACAGCAGUGAGAGGCCCGCGUACCGCAAAAAAAAAAAAAAAAAAAAAAAUCAGAGCAUCUUAGGCCAAGAGAAAUGGAGAGGAGCUGACACGACCUUCCAGCAUUCCUAACCCCGCCUCUGCCAAAGCUCUGCCAGCUCAGCUGCUUCGAAUAGGAUUGCUUUCUGUCCACAGUGCAGUUUUAAUAAGCUGUUCAGAUUUUACUGUGCUCCAAGGGAGAUUAAAAUAAGAGUGGUUUUGGCUUGUUCCUGAACAGGUAUUUCAGAUAAUUUGGAAAUGUAGAGUAAAAUAAGAGGCCAGGGGGAGGACUUUUAUCCCUGAGAAUCAGCCUUAGUCAUUUCUUUGGGUGUAUCUCAUUAGUAUUCUUUAUGAACUCAACCUCGGAAAUUCUGUUCCUUGAAGUUUUAUACCCAGAAGAUUAACACAUGAAGGGUUGUUAGGUAUGGGAAAGGCCUAUUAGGUAGUUUCACUGAUCCCUGUGGAAGGCACAUAGGAAAUCACAGCUAUUUGCAUGUUACUCCCCAUGAUUUUCCAGUGCUUUGCCUAAUAAUUUUUUUACAAUAUGAAAAAUGGCACAUGGUCAAGUGGAGAAGAGUGCUGGCUUUGAGACUCUACGUGGGGUCCUCGGAGAGGAUCUUGUUCACGUGACACUCAAUAGCACCACAGACACCAGAAUGUCACGAUGCUGCUGGGCUUUCCUGACAUAACCACCCAGGCUGAGCUCCAAAGCUGCCCCCGUACUUACCUCUACACAGUAAGGAAUUGUCUUCCUGUCUCCACUAUGGAGAGGUUGUGAUCCUUGGAUUAAAAUGACCCUCCAGAGCACACUCGGCAAUUCGCUGUGUCCUUGUCAUCGCUAAUCCAGAUAUAUACCUCUCUUUUAAAUGUGUUUUAAACGCCACUUUAAUAUCCUGCUCCUUUCUUCUAUUUUGUUGUCUACAGAGAAACGAAACAGUCAUUACCUCAAUUGCUCUAGUGCCUGUAUACUUUCUGGUCACUUGACUGAGGGUUCCUCGGGGUUUUUCAUCUUGACCCCCCAAAACCCUAUUUUAAGGUCAUGGACAUUCAGUCCAGCACCACCAGGUGUGCAAGUGGGCCCACUGAUAAGCAGCCCUGUGGGAGGGUUUGAAGUCUGUUUGCUGGACAGAGAAGAGGAAAACACCUUUUGGCUUAAUGGGGUCUGCCUACCCUAGAAACCAAGCUUCCGUUGCACAAGCCAGUCAGGUUUCCAGAAUGGCACAUCACAUGGAAGUUUUCAGGCCAGCAGACUAGUCACUCCCCUUCCUGCACCUUCUUCCUACAUAAACACAACAUGUGCCGCAUCUCCCCUGAGUCUGAUGUCCUUGUCCCUGCCCCACCCUAUCCUAUUGUCCUGCAGAAUGCCUGACACUUUACCCCUCCCUUUCUCCCCCCAUUUUUUUUUUAACUCUUCUGGCCCCAAACAUUUGUUUAGUCUGACUGCUUCACUGAACCACACCUCAUUGCAUUUGUCUUUCUACCCUCAGUUCAUUAAUCAACAGUACUUCUCAGUAAUGUUCUCAGUAGACCAUCUUUAGAGACUAACCAUUAAAGUUUUCUCCAUAGAGGGGAUAUAUUGUAUUUGAAAUGGUCACCAUUGGAGAAAAAAUCCUGCUCUGCAAACGGAGCUUUUGUGAUAGAGGAAAACCGAUGAGACUAUAAAAACACUAUUUCCAUUUAAAAAGAAAAGAUACGUUAGCUUUUGCAGCCAGUCUGGAAACGGACCUCAGUGUUACUAAGUAACAUCGCUGCUGGUCAUGUAGGCAGACUCCUAUGUUCUGGAGGGGAGAGGGCAGAUUGAACUCAUUCCAAAGCACUGCCUGCGUAAACUGAGCCAUUUCAAUACCAGAAGUAGUGCCUGCUGCUGUGUAAAAUGAGUUUUGGCCAGCUCGCAUGUUAUGUCCUAAAAGGGAAGGAAAAAGGCAUUGCAAGGAUGUCUCCACACCCAUGGAAUUCACUUAAAGUGUUUUUGCACGCUGGCCAGGUUUUCUGCCAGAUGACUCUGGUGUAUGGAAGCCAGCCAGAUCUGCGACCUUCUGCCCAGAAGCCCACGCAUUCCUACCGCUGACUCGUGUGUGGAGACAGCAGAAGAGAGAAACUCACCUGGCCAACCCAGAAGAAGUUACGUCAAAGCAAAACUCUCAGCUCUCUACACCCAUCAGUAUGACCCUAGUUAGCAAAACAGCUGCUGCUUCAGAACGAAGAGUUUGGCUCAAAACGGCAUGAUGGACUAAGGUGAAGAGACAGACUUUUAAAGGAAAAUAACUGAUCCAAGUUUCCACAGUAAGCGGCAGAGCCAAGAUUUAGAUGCCAAUUGAGUCCAUUCAAGCGGGUAUUUCAUAUCUUUGAGACAUCUAGAAUCUCAGAAUUCUGUACCUAACCUCUCAGUUCUUACUAACAAGGUUGAUUUCUACUAACUGGAAUGAACAUAUUCCAAGAAGGAAAGCCAGUCAUGUAAAGCUGUGUGAACUUUGUAAACUUAGGGUGGAUUUUUUUACUGAGGUUUGUAUCACAAGUAAAGCUGUCAAUUUUCUGUUUAA